AUGGCGCAGUCUAUGACACCUAGGAAAACGUGUGUUUUGGGAGAUUCGUGCAUUGUUUGCGGGUUUUCUUUCGUACAGCAUGAAAGGACUGCAGACGGUAAAGACAUAAUUCAUAAAUUCUAUCAGUCAAAGCUUAAAUUGAACUCGGAAAGGAUCGAAUACAUUAAGAAAGUGAGUGAAAGAUCCGACAUCCAAGAAUGUGACGGGGGUAUAUGCAGAAAAUGCUUCAGAUCAGUUGAGUCUGUCAUUAAAACAGAUGAAAAAAACCAAGCUGCAAAACAAAAGAUCAGGGAAAGCAUAGAUUUUGUAUAUAGAACACAAAUUAUAUCCCUCCCCUCUCCCAGACGGACGUCUGUUACUAAGAGAAUGUUACGUCCUGAUCCGAACCCCCCUGACACGAGUGGUACUUGCAGUGGAUCGGCAAACCCCCUCGCCAAAGUUUCGUUUGUUUCACCUGUGAAACUGUCCCCAUUCCGUGAAUUAACGAAGUACAGAAAAAUUGCACCACAAACUGAGAUCCUGAGCAAAGUCAGUGAAAAAGAACAAGACUUUGAACCUGUUCCAAAAACAAAGAGAGCCCUUUUCUCUGUCAAAGAGAACAAAUCUGACCAAUGUUCCCUUGAUGGGAGAGUAGAGGUUGUGGUGCACUAUCCAAGUGGGAGAAAAUCUGCGACUAUCAAAGAGGAUGCCCACCAACAGAUCUGCAAAGCUAUAGCAAGAGGUGGAAAUGCAGACAGUACCAUAGUUGACAUUUUGCGUAAACAUAACCCAAUGGUAUUAGUGCAAGGCUCCCAGAAGAUUGUGCAAGAAGAAUGUAAAGCAGUUUCAAAAAGAGGUUCAGGAACACUACUCCAACAGAAAACCCAUGCAGAUUUUUUCAACUUCCGAUGGGAGAAUAUCUACCAACAACUGCAGAUGAUGUGUCCAGCACUUUUAUCUAUAAUAACAGCUACUGUGUCUGACAUUCCACCUGUUGUUGGAAGCAAACCAUUUCUUCAUGCUUUGCAAACUGUAGGCAUAGCACUUCAUGGAAGAAGUCAGGAGAUGGCUGUUAUGCAGUACAUAAAUGGUUUUCUUUUAUAUCAUGGUGGAUGCACACAGCGGGACAUAGAAAGACUAUCUCAUGUUGGGUUAACAGUACAUCCACUCACUAUAAAGAGAAAGCUACUUGACUGGCAGGAUGUGUUGGACAAAGAAAUUUUAAAGAUUCGGGAUUCUUGGGCUGAAGGAGGAAGUGUCAAAUAUCAAAUAAUUGGAGACAAUUGGGACAAGAACAUACUUCCAUCAUAUAGAACAUCGGAUCGGAAAACUAUUUCUCUUCAUCUGUUUCAUGUGUACGCCAUCGUGGAUAGAGUUAUCCCAACUGAACGUGGCUGUCAUGCUUCCGCACCACAUGACAUUGAAGUUGGAACCUUCAUUCCAUCCAUAGACGACCAAAAGAACUUGAUGAAAGAGCUAACAUUUAUUUUCUCUACAUCAGUCAUCGAAAAUCAUCCUGAAUUGCAGAAAAUAUAUGGAAAGAUCUACCCAAAGCAUUUGGAACAUAAAUAUUCUCACUGUGUUGGAAAUAAAACAAAACAAACUCAUGAAUUUCUUAGAGGCUAUACACAAACUGACAUAUUCAACCAAGAGUGCUGUGGACCAAGGCACAGUAUAUUACUAUCGGAACCUCCUGAACAUGAGAAAUGUGAAAGGGCAAGUGUAUAA
rnacentral:sRNA from 1 species